CGUAGGUGGCAAGCGUUGUCCGGAUUUAUUGGGUUUAAAGGGUGCGUAGGCGGUUCUAUAAGUCAGUGGUGAAAUCCGGCAGCUCAACUGUCGAUGUGCCAUUGAUACUGCAGAACUUGAGUACAGACGAGGUAGGCGGAAUUGACGGUGUAGCGGUGAAAUGCUUAGAUAUCGUCAAGAACACCGAUAGCGAAGGCAGCUUACUAGACUGUAACUGACGCUGAUGCACGAAAGUGUGGGGAUCAAACAGGAUUAGAUACCCUGGUAGUCCACACUGUAAACGAUGAUUACUCGAUGUUAGCGAUACACAGUUAGCGUCUUAGCGAAAGCGAUAAGUAAUCCAACCUGGGGAGUACGCCGGCAACGGUG
rnacentral:rRNA from 1 species